rnacentral:rRNA from 1 species
AACGAACGCUGGCGGCAGGCUUAACACAUGCAAGUCGAACGGACGUAGCAAUACGUCAGUGGCAGACGGGUGAGUAACGCGUGGGAAUAUGCCCUUUAGUUCGGAAUAAACCAGGGAAACUUGAGCUAAUACCGGAUAAGCCCGAGAGGGGAAAGAUUUAUCACUGAAGGAGUAGCCCGCGUCUGAGUAGCUAGUUGGUGAGGUAAGGGCUCACCAAGGCGACGAUGAGUAGCUGGUCUGAGAGGAUGAUCAGCCACACUGGGACUGAGACACGGCCCAGACUCCUACGGGAGGCAGCAGUGGGGAAUAGUGACAAUGGGGGCAACCCCGAUCCAGCCAUGCCGCGUGAUUGAUGAAGGCCUUAGGGUUGUAAAACUCUUUUAUCCGGGAAGAUAAUGACUGUACCGUAAGAAUAAGCCCCGGCUAACUUCGUGCCAGCCGCCGCCGUAACAC